UGUGUAGGUGGUUGUGCAAGUCAAGGAUGAAAUCCCGGGGCUUACCUUCGGAACUGUCCUUGAAACUGCUCAACUUGAGGAUGGUUGAGGAAGACGGAAUUCCCGGUGGAGCGGUGAAAUGCGUAGAUAUCGGGAGGAACACCAGAGGCGAAGGCGGUCUUCUGAGCCAUUCCUGACACUGAGACACGAAAGCUAGGGGAGCGAACG
rnacentral:rRNA from 1 species